GCGGCAGUAGCUCAGUGGUAGAGCCCUCGCCUGACAUGCGGGGAGACCUGGGUUCGAUUCCCGGCUGCUUCC
rnacentral:tRNA from 1 species